CCUACGGGCGGCAGCAGUGGGGAAUAUUGCACAAUGGGGGAAACCCUGAUGCAGCGACGCCGCGUGAGUGAAGAAGUAAUUCGUUAUGUAAAGCUCUAUCAGCAGGGAAGAAAAUGACGGUACCUGAGUAAGAAGCCCCGGCUAACUACGUGCCAGCAGCCGCGGUAAUACGUAGGGGGCAAGCGUUAUCCGGAUUUACUGGGUGUAAAGGGAGCGUAGACGGCAGUGCAAGUCUGGAGGGAAAGGGGGGGGCUCAAACCCCGGACUGCUCUGGAAACUGUACGGCUGGAGUGCAGGAGAGGUAAGUGGAAUUCCUAGUGUAGCGGUGAAAUGCGUAGAUAUUAGGAGGAACACCAGUGGCGAAGGCGGCUUACUGGACUGUAACUGACGUUGAGGCUCGAAAGCGUGGGGAGCAAACAGGAUUAGAUACCCUUGUAGUC
rnacentral:rRNA from 1 species